rnacentral:rRNA from 1 species
GACGAACGCUGGCGGCGUGCUUAACACAUGCAAGUCGAACGGAAAGGCCCUGCUUUUGUGGGGUGCUCGAGUGGCGAACGGGUGAGUAACACGUGAGUAACCUGCCCUUGACUUUGGGAUAACUUCAGGAAACUGGGGCUAAUACCGGAUAGGAGCUCCUGCUGCAUGGUGGGGGUUGGAAAGUUUCGGCGGUUGGGGAUGGACUCGCGGCUUAUCAGCUUGUUGGUGGGGUAGUGGCUUACCAAGGCUUUGACGGGUAGCCGGCCUGAGAGGGUGACCGGCCACAUUGGGACUGAGAUACGGCCCAGACUCUUACGGGAGGCAGCAGUGGGGAAUCUUGCACAAUGGGCGGAAGCCUGAUGCAGCAACGCCGCGUGCGGGAUGACGGCCUUCGGGUUGUAAACCGCUUUCGCCUGUGACGAAGCGUGAGUGACGGUAAUGGGUAAAGAAGCACCGGCUAACUACGUG